AUUUCCUUCGGGACUGAUUAUUUUGUGACUGAGUGGCGGACGGGUGAGUAACGCGUGGGUAACCUGCCUUGUACUGGGGGACAACAGUUGGAAACGACUGCUAAUACCGCAUAAGCGCACAAUGUUGCAUGACAUGGUGUGAAAAACUCCGGUGGUAUAAGAUGGACCCGCGUCUGAUUAGCUGGUUGGUGAGGUAACGGCCCACCAAGGCGACGAUCAGUAGCCGACCUGAGAGGGUGAUCGGCCACAUUGGGACUGAGACACGGCCCAAACUCC
rnacentral:rRNA from 1 species